CUCUAACCCAGAGCAGAGAAAUCACAGUCUGCUUUCUUCACCAAACCCUCUAGGACAAUCUCCGUUUCUGUAUGUAUCACCAAAAAUGACAGCCUCCCAUAGUGCUACCCAUAGUAACCCUCUCAGAGGUAGUCCCAGGGGUCCAGGACUGUCACUGCCCUUUUCACUUCUGAAAUCAUGAGUGGCCAUAAGCUCGCGUGCAUGCUUGAAGCUCUUGGAUAAUGUCUGGGUGCUGCUCUAAAGCUUUUUCCUGGCCUCUAAUACUUUGUGAGUUUUUGCCUGUUUGUGGGUGUGGGUUCCUAAUUUUUUCAGGCUGCCCAGGAGAAGAGAGAUUCUCAACCAGUUGGUUUGCAGUUUAUGAUGAUCCGAGCUGAGAGUCCCUUCCUGGGCUUACUGACAAUAACCUGCUUCCUGGCUCCCCUGCUCAGCCACUCUGUCAGUCCCAGAAGUCUCUUUGGCUUUGAGGCUUCUUGUAUCCUGAGACCACAAUGCUCUACCUAGAAUUCAGCCUCUUUAUUUCCAGAGCCCCUUUAAAAGAGUCUUAUGAUAUAAUCAGCAUAAUUUCACCUCCUGAAUUUGGAUGAAUUCUGGGAUAUAAUCAAGAUCAGGCAGUAGACGUCUAAGAUUGAAGGCCAUGGCCUGGAUUAUGGUGAACUCACUAAGGCAAAUAACUCCUAUAAGAUGGUCCUGCAGCAGGCAAUCAAUGCUAUCUUUUGUGAUACCCAGUACUUGCUGUGUAACUUUGAAUUCCUAUAAAUCCAUUAAGGUACCAAUAAAUUUUGUUUCUCAUUG